rnacentral:lncRNA from 1 species
UUCAACAGAAGCAAGUAGGAACCUUUUGUCUGAGAGAGAGUCUCCUUGUUAGGCAUCAGCUGACACGACGACAUGUACCUUUUAACCUUUGCUUCUCGUGUAGACCCAAACCUUUUUUUUACCCUCACCAAAAAAAUAUUAAAACACCAAAAAAAAGCCACCCACCCAAAAAAAAUAAAAUAUUUUUAAUGAAAGAAAGAAGAAACUUC